rnacentral:rRNA from 1 species
UACGGAGGGUGCAAGCGUUAUCCGGAUUUACUGGGUUUAAAGGGUGCGUAGGUGGACAGAAAAGUCAGUGGUGAAAUCUUCGAGCUUAACUCGGAAACUGCCAUUGAUACUAUUUGUCUUGAAUACUUUGGAGGUAAGCGGAAUAUGUCAUGUAGCGGUGAAAUGCUUAGAUAUGACAUAGAACACCAAUGGCGAAGGCAGUUUACUACAUAGUUAUUGACACUGAUGCACGAAAGCGUGGGGAUCAAACAGG